GCACAAAAGUUCUUUGAAAAUAGAGGCAACAUUAGAUUUUUUUGUCAUUUUCUCGGUCCUCCUCUUCACCUUCUCUGCUUCUGCUUCUGCUUCUGCUUCAACCAUCGUCAUCGUCGUUGUUGCUUCUGCCAUCGCCAUCGCCGCCAUUGCUUCUGCCAUCGCCGCUUCUGAGAUGAAGAAUGUAGUCUCAAGGUUAUUCUAUAUUGUUCGCCCCCCAUCAACCCACACAACCAGAAGCUUCGAGUUGCCCUAAUUAGAAGAAAUCGUUCAGCGAUUCUGCUUAAUUCAAGUUUCCCAGGAUGAGUUUCUCUGAUUCUUUUUUUCAUCGUUUGCACCUUUCUCUAAUGGGGUAGAUUCAAUGGGAGAAUUCUAGGGAGAUCUCUGCAAUCAGCAUUGGUACUACAGGGCCUCCUAUGGUGCAGCAACCUAGGGCUCCUGAUCAAUAUGAUGUUCAUAGGAUGGCGGAGAAUGGUAAUGGUGUUAUGGAUGUUAUGAGAGGGAAUUCAAGGCCGGUUUAUUGGAAAACAAAGCUCUAUACCAAGUUUGAAACAACAGAGUUCUGUCCUUUUGGGGACAAUUGCCAUUUUGCUCAUGGGCAUGCAGGUAUUCAAUAAUCCGAGGGAGCAGCCUUUCACCUUUGAGGAGAUAGAUGAAGUACGAGGAGAUAGAUGAAGUUUGAGGAGAUAGAUGAAGUUCGAGGGAGCGGCAUUUCACCCGUGGUUGUCUUUGAUAUUUUCUUGUACUGAAUCUUAAAUUAUGGAUGCUAGUUAUUCGUAUGAUUGUAAUGUAAUCGACUUUUAUAUUUACAAUUAUAUACUACUUUAUUUAAUUAUCUAUAUAAUUGGAUACUUUUCAUGUGA